rfam:Myotis lucifugus cont2.52477, whole genome shotgun sequence.
GCCGUGGUGGCUCAGUGGUUGAGCAUUGACCUAUGAACCAAGAGGUCACGGUUCGAUUCCUGGUCAGGGCA